UACGAAGGGGGCUAGCGUUGCUCGGAAUCACUGGGCGUAAAGCGCACGUAGGCGGAUUUUUAAGUCAGGGGUGAAAUCCUGGAGCUCAACUCCAGAACUGCCUUUGAUACUGGGAAUCUCGAGUCCGGGAGAGGUGAGUGGAACUGCGAGUGUAGAGGUGAAAUUCGUAGAGAUGUGGAGGAACACCGGUGGCGAAGGCGGCAUCCUGGACCAACACUGACGCUGAGGAGCGAAAGCCAGGGGAGCAAACGGG
rnacentral:rRNA from 1 species